GGUGAACGCUGGCGGCGUGCCUAAUACAUGCAAGUCGAGCGAACAGACGAGGAGCUUGCUCCUCUGACGUUAGCGGCGGACGGGUGAGUAACACGUGGAUAACCUACCUAUAAGACUGGGAUAACUUCGGGAAACCGGAGCUAAUACCGGAUAAUAUAUUGAACCGCAUGAUUCAAUAGUGAAAGACGGUUUUGCUGUCACUUAUAGAUGGAUCCGCGCCGCAUUAGCUAGUUGGUAAGGUAACGGCUUACCAAGGCAACGAUGCGUAGCCGACCUGAGAGGGUGAUCGGCCACACUGGAACUGAGACACGGUCCAGACUCCUACGGGAGGCAGCAGUAGGGAAUCUUCCGCAAUGGGCGAAAGCCUGACGGAGCAACGCCGCGUGAGUGAUGAAGGUCUUCGGAUCGUAAAACUCUGUUAUUAGGGAAGAACAAAUGUGUAAGUAACUAUGCACGUCUUGACGGUACCUAAUCAGAAAGCCACGGCUAACUACGUG
rnacentral:rRNA from 1 species